UCUGGUUGAUUCUGCCAGUAGUCAUAUGCUUGUCUCAAAGAUUAAGCCAUGCAUGUCUAAGUAUAAGCAAUUAUACAGCGAAACUGCGAAUGGCUCAUUAUAUAAGUUAUCGUUUAUUUGAUAGUACCUUACUACUUGGAUAACCGUGGUAAUUCUAGAGCUAAUACAUGCUGAAAAUCCCGACUUCGGAAGGGAGGUAUUUAUUAGAUUAAAAACCAAUGCCCUCUGGGCUCCUUGGUGAUUCAUAAUAACUUUUCGAAUCGCACGGCCUUGCGCCGGCGAUGGUUCAUUCAAAUUUCUUCCCUAUCAACUUUCGAUGUUUGGGUAUUGGCCAAACAUGGUCGCAACGGGUAACGGAGGGUUAGGGCUCGACCCCGGAGAAGGAGCCUGAGAAACGGCUACUACAUCCAAGGAAGGCAGCAGGCGCGCAAAUUACCCAAUCCCGAUUCGGGGAGGUAGUGACAAUAAAUACUGAUACAGGGCUCUUUUGGGUCUUGUAAUUGGAAUGAGUACAAUUUAAAUCUCUUAACGAGGAACAAUUGGAGGGCAAGUCUGGUGCCAGCAGCCGCGGUAAUUCCAGCUCCAAUAGCGUAUAUUAAAGUUGUUGUGGUUAAAAAGCUCGUAGUUGAACCUUGGGCCUGGCUGGCCGGUCCGCCUCACCGCGUGUACUGGUCCGGCCGGGCCUUUCCCUCUGUGGAACCUCAUGCCCUUCACUGGGUGUGGCGGGGAAACAGGACUUUUACUUUGAAAAAAUUAGAGUGCUCCAGGCAGGCCUAUGCUCGAAUACAUUAGCAUGGAAUAAUAAAAUAGGACGCGUGGUUCUAUUUUGUUGGUUUCUAGGACCGCCGUAAUGAUUAAUAGGGACAGUCGGGGGCAUCAGUAUUCAAUUGUCAGAGGUGAAAUUCUUAGAUUUAUUGAAGACUAACUACUGCGAAAGCAUUUGCCAAGGAUGUUUUCAUUAAUCAGGAACGAAAGUUAGGGGAUCGAAGACGAUCAGAUACCGUCGUAGUCUUAACCAUAAACUAUGCCGACUAGGGAUCGGACGAUGUUAUUUUUUGACGCGUUCGGCACCUUACGAGAAAUCAAAGUGCUUGGGCUCCAGGGGGAGUAUGGUCGCAAGGCUGAAACUUAAAGAAAUUGACGGAAGGGCACCACCAGGGGUGGAGCCUGCGGCUUAAUUUGACUCAACACGGGGAAACUCACCAGGUCCAGACACAAUGAGGAUUGACAGAUUGAGAGCUCUUUCUUGAUUUUGUGGGUGGUGGUGCAUGGCCGUUCUUAGUUGGUGGAGUGAUUUGUCUGCUUAAUUGCGAUAACGAACGAGACCUUAACCUGCUAAAUAGCCUGUAUUGCUUUGGCAGUACGCCGGCUUCUUAGAGGGACUAUCGGCUCAAGCCGAUGGAAGUUUGAGGCAAUAACAGGUUGACCUACACAGGCCUGUCACAGUGGUCCUCACUAAAAUAUCCGCUAGUCGAGCGCAUUCACCUCUGUUGGGAAAGCUCCCUUUUACUGGGCAGAGGAGACGGCCGCCGCCGUCUUUGCGUCGGCGACACUACCUGGUACAGGGGACGCCUGAAAGGGCCGAUCCUGUGGCGAGCUCGGGUCGCGCCGAGCCGUCGCAACGCACGCUAAGGAGUGGGCUAGGAAACUAGCUUAAGGUACGUGCUAAUCCCACGGGCAACCGUGCUCGAUCGAAUAGGCCCAGUAAGCCGAAGCGAUCGGGGCUCUUGGGUAGUUCCGGAGC
rnacentral:rRNA from 1 species